rnacentral:rRNA from 1 species
CGAGCGUUAAUCGGAAUUACUGGGCGUAAAGCGGGCGCAGACGGUUACUUAAGCAGGAUGUGAAAUCCCCGGGCUCAACCUGGGAACUGUGUUCUGAACUGGGUGACUAGAGUGUGUCAGAGGGAGGUAGAAUUCCACGUGUAGCAGUGAAAUGCGUAGAGAUGUGGAGGAAUACCGAUGGCGAAGGCAGCCUCCUGGGAUAACACUGACGUUCAUGCUCGAAAGCGUGGGUAGCAAACAGGAUUAGAUACCCUGGUAGUCCACGCCCUAAACGAUGUCAAUUAGCUGUUGGGCAACUUGAUUGCUUAGUAGCGUAGCUAACGCGUGAAAUUGACCGCCUGGGGAGUACGGUCGCAAGAUUAAAACUCAAAGGAAUUGACGGGGACCCGCACAAGCGGUGGAUGAUGUGGAUUAAUUCGAUGCAACGCGAAGAACCUUACCUGGUCUUGAUAUCCCUCUGACCGCUCUAGAGAUAGAGCUUUCUUCGGGACAGAGG